rnacentral:rRNA from 1 species
GAUGAACGCUGGCGGCGUGCCUAAUACAUGCAAGUCGAGCGAACAGACGAGGAGCUUGCUCCUCUGACGUUAGCGGCGGACGGGUGAGUAACACGUGGAUAACCUACCUAUAAGACUGGGAUAACUUCGGGAAACCGGAGCUAAUACCGGAUAAUAUAUUGAACCGCAUGGUUCAAUAGUGAAAGACGGUUUUGCUGUCACUUAUAGAUGGAUCCGCGCCGCAUUAGCUAGUUGGUAAGGUAACGGCUUACCAAGGCAACGAUGCGUAGCCGACCUGAGAGGGUGAUCGGCCACACUGGAACUGAGACACGGUCCAGACGCCUACGGGAGGCAGCAGUAGGGAAUCUUCCGCAAUGGGCGAAAGCCUGACGGAGAAACGCCGCGUGAGUGAUGAAGGUAUUCGGAUCGUAAAACUCUGUUAUUAGGGAAGAACAAAUGUGUAAGUAACUAUGCAAGUCUUGACGGUACCUAAUCAGAAAGCCACGGCUAACUACGUG